rnacentral:rRNA from 1 species
UACAGAGGAGCCAAGCGUUGUCCGGAUUGACUGGGCGUAAAGCGCACGCAGGCGGUUGCGCGCGGGGGGGGUGAAAUCUGGCCGCUUAACGGCCAGGCGCCAUCCCAUACGGCGCGACUGGAGUGAUGCAGAGGUCGAUGGAAUUGCCGGUGUAGUGGUGAAAUGCGUAGAGAUCGGCAGGAACACCCAGGGGGAAACCAGUCGACUGGGCAUCUACUGACGCUGAGGUGCGAGAGCGUGGGGAGCGAACAGG